ACAUAGCAAGACCUCAUCUCUUUAAACAAACAAAAGAAUAAAAAAGCCUUAGCCCAGCCAUGGUACAGAAGAGGCCAAUGAGGGUUUGGCCCCUCACCUUGCCUGACACUUCAUCUUCUCCUCUAAACACGAUCAUUACCAGCUGCCUGUCAUCUGCCUAUAUGGAGACAUGUGGGCUGAUUUCUGCUUUGGUUGAAGUCUGGUCGUUCGUUCAGCAGAUAUGUAUUGAGCAUUUCUGUGCCAAAGGGAGUAAGAAAGAGAAAGGGCAACCACGGCCCUAACUGACCAUCAGUGGGAUGAGAGAGUGAUGGUGACUGCUGUGAGGAACAUGCGGCUCUGCAUGAGCGACAUGGGUCUGGGCCUGACCAGGCCGUGGUGGGGUCUUAUUGGCGGAGAUGGGGAGAACUUUACUCCAGGCCCAGAGAAUGACACGAGCAAAGCUGGGUGAAGGGUCAGCAAGUAGACAGGUGUGUCCAGAGCAGAAGGAAGCAGGACUUUGAAGAUAAAUAGACCCUGUUGAGGGCUUUGCAAUGCAGAACAAAACAAGGAGGGUGGAUUUUAUUUUGGAGACUUCCCCUACCCCCGUCCCUGGAGCUGUUGCUGGCGUAAUGGAGGGACACAGUGGGAUCACAUGCUGCUUGUGGGAGGGUGAAUUUUGUAGAUCCUUGAAAGGGAGUGGGAGGGAGGGAGAGAUCAGAUAUAGAAUAUCAAGGGAAUUGGAACACCUUGCCAAUGUAGUCACUAUGGCAAGUCAUUUCUAGUAACCUGGGGACAUGCCGUCCUCCUACAGCCCUCCCAGAGCCCGUUCGUACAAUGUUGCAGGUAUUUGCUGUGAUUACUUUUCCCAUUUUCCAGAAGACCUAGGUGGGAUUUGGCCUGAAGGAACCUGGUUCUAAGGGCAGGUUGGGGGCAAGAGGGGAGACGUGGGGCAGUAGUCAAAAGCGAGGAUGGCAGCAGCCAAGGAAGAGGCUUUGGUGAAGAGCGGCCGAAGCGAGACCAUAGGACACGAUCUUGGGCACGCGUGUCUAGGAGGCUGCCCCGGCCUGCUCCUCCUUCCUGUGGUGUGUGUGGGUGCCCUGGAGUAGAUCAUUGGGCAGUUGCUGCUUUGCUGCAUUCCCACCGGCCAGUGAAUUUGUUUUAGUCCUCAGGUGCUUUACAUAAGGAGGAAACCAUGUAACCUUCACAAGUUUUUUCCCAGUCAUUUAAAAAGGCUUGUUUUCCAGCCGAAGGCAUGUCGAAUAAGCUUAAUUUCUCUCACUCAGAUCAGCUUAAUUUCUCUGUGAUGUGCAUACAGAGAAUUGCUUAAUUCUCCUUUUGCAACAUGUUUUCCCAGCUGCUGAGAGCCCUGCUUUUUUUCCAUGGGCCUCCUGACAGAAAUACAAACAAUUUAAAGCCAUGCGGUACCAACUGCUCUUCGUCACCACAUGGACUGUGGAUGUCAGUGUGUUUCCCCUUGGGCUGGAUUUGUCUGGAGCUGGUGGCUGCUUUCUUGUCCUUCCGUGCCUCCUGGGAGUCAGGGAUCAAGGCCGUGCUGGGUUGUGCUGAGAGCCACAGCCCCUCCUUCAAGUGGGGUACCCUCCCUUCCCAGCCUAGUCCUACAUCCUUGUUGUGUGAGGAAAUGAAGUCUGUUCCUUGGAUGCGUUCUGACGGGAAACAUGUUUUCUGUGGCACCUCUGCUUAGUCUUUCAGUGCAACACAAACAGCCUUUUGAUACCUUGUUUUGUAAAAAGUACAUUUCCACAAUGGGGCUUGACACUGUUCAUAAAUAAACACAUCCGUUUACAGGCAAAGCAAGGGAAGAACACAUAAGGGAACAGUUUGACCAGGGGUUUUGCUUUUCCCUCUGUGAAUGCCUGGUGUGCACCAUCCAUCCGAGGAUGACUAGGGGAGAACACUAUUCUGUGGCUGCCAAAACCACAACAAAUGACAACUUUCCAUUCUGUCAUCUCUCUCGGCACCACUGCUAGCAAGCAAUUCAUUUUUCUACCAUAAAAGGGCAAUAGAACUUGUCUAUAGCUGCGGUGUCUUCUGCUCUGCAGAGAGAGAGCAGGAGACCGGCAGGGAGAGGCACUCUCAGCAGUAGGCGCAACCGUGCUCACCCCGUGCCUAACAGCCUUGCUUAGUCCGGGCUCCGAGGCAGCAGCAGCCAUAAGAAAAAACAGGAGAGGAAGGCGAUGUGGCGCUUCUGCCGGGCCCUCAGACUGGGGAGUGUGAGUUUUACAGAUAUCCCAGUCCAAAAAAAAAUAAGACAAGCCUGAUAAUAAGUAUGGAUAAGGAAGUCUCCAGAAGAUACACUGUCAGAUGUGUAAAGCAAGGUAAGGUGCGCAGAGUGAGCCUUCUGCUCACUUUGUAUAAAUGUAAAGGAUAAAGCUGGUAAAUACAUGCGCCUUUAACUUUUUUCUUCAAAACCUAAGCAUGAAACACAAACUGCUACAGGAAGGCUUGACAAGAGGGGAGUUUUUGCUUUUUGUUUAUAAUAACUUCUGUAUUUCUUAGCACAUUCAGUAUGUGUUCUUCUUUUCACUAGUGUCAACAGAGAUACGAACAUUUAAAUUUUUUUAAAAAGCUUUAGGAUAGAAAAGAGGUGUAGCUGGGCAAUUUCCUUUGACAUGCGGUUUGUCUGAAAUAGAGCAGCCCCUUGUUUAUGAUUUCCAGAUAUGUGAGUCUGUUUUUUUAUGUACAGGUUUUACCUUGGCUCAAUUUACUGUCUAGUUACAUUUUAACAGCUUUCUACUCUGCUUUUUCUCUCAAUAUAAAAGUAAUCGAAAGAAGACUAAUCAUUUUUGAAAUGCUUUCAGUUUUACACAGUUCUGUGCGUGAAAGCCUGGUGUCCCCACCAGCCAACUGUGGGAAUCCAGGACAUAGAGCAGGAAUAGCUGCUGCUUAUUUACUGCUCUAAUUACCUCUUCGGUUCCAUUUGCGGUCGCUAGUUCCUUCCAUCAAGCAAAGUGAAAAUUGUCAAAACGGCUGUUUUUCCCUCCUGGAAAACAGAAAAAAGAAUAUGGCAAGAUGUUAACUGUGGCAUGACAGUCCGGGAUUCUGGACACGACCUACAUAAUCUUCCUUGUAUCUCUUUGUGACUUGGUUUCCUCAUCUGUAAAAUGAGAAAUGGGGAUCCUGUUUUCUGUCCCAGCCCCCUUCAGGGUGGUUGUGAGAAGCAAAUGAGGCCGCAACAGUAGAGACAGGGUUUCACCAUGUUGGCCAUGCUAG
rnacentral:lncRNA from 1 species